CAUCACAGUCCCAAGAAUAACACAAGAAAUUCUCCAAGUUUCCAAGAAGGGAAGAUGGAGUGGAGGGCGCCCACCCUAUCUCCAGUGGACAUCCCCUGGGCUACUCCUCUCCUGAUGAGAAAAUGCUCACUUCAGCCAAGUGCAGAAUGGUCCCCUUUGUUUUCGUGGGUAUCAGUGGAGAAUGAGAUCCUUCAUAUGGAAUCUCCCUGUGUUGCUCAGGCUGAUCUCGAACUCCUGAGCCCAAGCAUGCAUCAGCCUCUCAGUAGCUGUGAUUACAGGCAUUGAGUCACCACUCCUGAGAAAUAACAGGACUUUGGUGCUAUUCUCCAAGCUGAAAGCCAUCCUCUUCGGCCCUGAGGACACAGCUUUUUCUGCCAUAACUCACUGUCUCCACUGGCUCAAUUAGCCAAUUAGUGGCAUUGUAGAGGGCUGAGAUGUUACUUUUUAGUUUCCAAUAAAAUUCUCAAGUUGGUUUCAA
rnacentral:lncRNA from 10 species